rnacentral:rRNA from 1 species
CUUUCCAGAGAUGGAUUGGUGCCUUCGGGAGCUCUGAGACAGGUGCUGCAUGGCUGUCGUCAGCUCGUGUUGUGAAAUGUUGGGUUAAGUCCCGCAACGAGCGCAACCCUUAUCCUUGUUUGCCAGCACGUAAUGGUGGGAACUCCAGGGAGACUGCCGGUGAUAAACCGGAGGAAGGUGGGGACGACGUCAAGUCAUCAUGGCCCUUACGAGUAGGGCUACACACGUGCUACAAUGGCAGAUACAGAGGGCAGCGAAGCUGCGAAGUGGAGCGAAUCCCUUAAAGUUUGUCGUAGUCCGGAUUGGAGUCUGCAACUCGACUCCAUGAAGUCGGAAUCGCUAGUAAUCGUGGAUCAGAAUGCCACGGUGAAUACGUUCCCGGGCCUUGUACACACCGCCCGUCACACCAUGGGAGUGGGCUGCACCAGAAGUAGAUAGCUUAACCUUCGGGAGGGCGUUUACCACGGUGUGGUUCAUGACUGGGGUGAAGUCGUAACAAGGUAGCCCUAGGGGAACCUGGGGCUGGAUCACCUCCUUAC